rfam:Triticum aestivum genome assembly, contig: Triticum_aestivum_CS42_TGACv1_scaffold_049695_1BS
UUAAUACUCCCUCUGUUCGGAAAUACUCGUCACAGAAAUGCUUAAAAAUGGAUGUAUCUAAGAACUAAAAUACGUCUAGAUACAUCCAUUCUUGCGACAAGUAUUUCCGGACGAAGGGAGUAGAUA